rfam:Eutrema salsugineum unplaced genomic scaffold scaffold_6, whole genome shotgun sequence.
GACCCUUUGGGAACAUCCGAUAAAAUUAGAACAAUACAGAGAAGAAUAGCAUGGCCUCUGCGAAAAGAUGACAUCCACAAAUUGAGAAAUUGUCCAAAUUUUU